rnacentral:rRNA from 1 species
AGGACUCUCAGCAACGGAUAUCUUGGCUCUUGCAACGAUGAAGAACGCAGCGAAAUGCGAUACGUAAUGUGAAUUGCAGAAUUCCGCGAAUCAUCGAAUCUUUGAACGCAAUUGGCCCGAGGCUCGUCCGAGGGCACGUCUGCCUGAGCGUCCAC